UACGUAGGGGGCAAGCGUUGUCCGGAUUUAUUGGGCGUAAAGAGCGUGUAGGCGGCCACGUAGGUCUGCUGUGAAAACUCGAGGCUUAACCUCGAGCUGUCGGCGCAAACCAUGUGGCUAGAGUCCGGAAGAGGAGAAUGGAAUUCCCGGUGUAGCGGUGAAAUGCGCAGAUAUCGGGAAGAACACCCGUGGCGAAGGCGGUUCUCUGGGACGGUACUGACGCUGAGACGCGAAAGCGUGGGGAGCGAACAGG
rnacentral:rRNA from 1 species